GAAUAUAGGGGGACCACCCUCUAAGCCUAAAUACUCUUCAGUGACCGAUAGUGAACUAGUACCGUGAGGGAAAGGUGAAAAGAACCCCUAUUAGGGGAGUGAAAUAGAACCUGAAACUGCAUGCCUACAAUCAGUCGAAGCUCUUUUUAGAGUGAGGGCGUACCUUUUGUAUAAUGGGUCAGUGACUUAAUUUAUUAAGCAAGCUUAAGCCAUCUAGGUGUAGGCGCAGCGAAAGCAAGUCUUAAUAGGGCGAUUAGUUUAAUGAAUUAGACCCGAAAACGAAUGAGCUUACCAUGAGCAGGUUGAAAGUUGGGUAACACCAACCGGAGGACCGAACCAGUUGACGUUGAAAAGUCUUUGGAUGACUUGUGGUAAGGGGUGAAAGGCCAACCAAAUUCGUAGAUAGCUGGUUUUCCGCGAAAACUAUUUAGGUAGUGCGUUGAAUAAAUAGAUGUUUAGAGGUAGAGCACUAAAUGGGCUAGGGGGAAGAGAUUCUUACCAAACCUAAUAAAACUCCGAAUGCUAGACAUUGUUCUUCGGCAGACAGACUGUGGGUGCUAAGGUCCAUGGUCGAGAGGGAAAGAGCCCAGACCACCAGAUAAGGUCCCAAAAUCAUGAUUAAGUGUGAAAGGAUGUGGAAAUUCCUUAACAGCCGGGAGGUUGGCUUAGAAGCAGCCAUCCUUUAAAGAUAGCGUAACAGCUCACCGGUCUAAUAGAGUUUCUGCGCCGAAGAUGUAACGGGGCUAAAAUCAUGUACCGAAUCUGUGGCUUUGCAAAGUUUUCGAACUUUGUAAGGGGUAGCGGAACGUUCUGUAAGCCUGCGAAGGGAUACCCGUGAGGGAUCCUGGAGGUAUCAGAAGUGCGAAUGCUGACAUAAGUAACGAUAAACGAAGUGAAAAACUUCGUCGCCGAAAAUCUAAGGGUUUCUAUGCAAGGUUAAUCCGCGUAGAGUUAGUCGGCACCUAAGGCGAGGGCGAAAGCCGUAGUCGAUGGAAACAAGGUUAAUAUUCCUUGACCUGAUGGUAGUGACGGAUUUCGUAAGUUGUGAGUUCUUAAUGGAUUGAACUUGCCGCGAAGAAGUCCCAAGAAAUAGCUCCAUCAUGAAGACCGUACCCGAAACCGACACAGGUAGAUUAAUAGAGUAUAUUUAGGCGCUUGAGAGAAUGAUGUUGAAGGAACUCGGCAAAAUGCUUCCGUAACUUCGGGAUAAGGAAGACCCUUUUGUAGGCAACUAUAGAAGGGUGGCACAAGCCAGGGAGAAGCGACUGUUUAUCAAAAACACAGGGCUCUGCUAACACGUAAGUGGAUGUAUAGGGUCUGACGCCUGCCCGGUGCUGGAAGGUUAAUGCGGUUGGUGCAAGCUAACUUCUGAAGCCCCAGUAAACGGCGGCCGUAACUAUAACGGUCCUAAGGUAGCGAAAUUCCUUGUCGGGUAAGUUCCGACCUGCAUGAAUGGCGUAACGAUUUCUCCGCUGUCUCCAACAUCAACUCAGUGAAAUUGAAUUCUCCGUGAAGAUGCGGAGUUCGCGUAGUUAGACGGAAAGACCCCGUGCACCUUUACUGCAACUUUACAUUGGUGUUAGGAAAAACAUAUUUAGCAUAGGAGGGAGACUUUGAAGCAGAGGCGUCAGCUUUUGUGGAGUCACCAGUGAAAUACCUCUUUUGUUUUUCUUGACAUCUAACUGAUAGCCGUCAUCCGGCAUCAAGACAUUGUAUGGUGGGUAGUUUGACUGGGGCGGUCGCCUCCCAAAUAGUAACGGAGGCGUGCGAAGGUAGGCUCAGAACGGUCAGAAAUCGUUCGUAGAGU
rnacentral:rRNA from 1 species